UACGUAGGGGGCAAGCGUUGUCCGGAUUUAUUGGGCGUAAAGAGCGUGUAGGCGGCUUGGCAAGUCCGCUGUGAAAACUCGAGGCUCAACCUCGAGACGUCGGUGGAAACUGCCUCGCUAGAGUCCGGAAGAGGAGAGUGGAAUUCCUGGUGUAGCGGUGAAAUGCGCCAGAUAUCAGGAAGAACACCCGUGGCUAAGGCGGCUCUCUAGUACGGUACUGACGCUGAGACGCGAAAGCGUGGGGAGCGAACAGG
rnacentral:rRNA from 1 species